UACGUAGGGUGCAAGCGUUAAUCGGAGUUACUGGGCGUAAAGCGUGCGCAGGCGGUGAUGUAAGACAGGUGUGAAAUCCCCGGGCUUAACCUGGGAACUGCAUUUGUGACUGCAUCGCUGGAGUGCGGCAGAGGGGGAUGGAAUUCCGCGUGUAGCAGUGAAAUGCGUAGAUAUGCGGAGGAACACCGAUGGCGAAGGCAAUCCCCUGGGCCUGCACUGACGCUCAUGCACGAAAGCGUGGGGGGCAAACAGG
rnacentral:rRNA from 1 species